rnacentral:ncRNA from 1 species
CGCAGGAAGCAAGCAAUCACCCUUCGGGGUGAGCGCUUGUGGAAUGAGCGGCGGACGGGUGAGUAACACGUGGGCAUGAAGCCCCCCUCAAGAUGAGACUUCCCAUCUUUUAGAGUAAGAUCCCUCAGAGACGAUGAGGUAGAUAGGUUCGAGGUGGAAGCGUGGUGACACGUGCAGCUGACGAAUACUAAUCGAUCGA